rnacentral:lncRNA from 1 species
AGGAGUUUAGAAACGAAAAGAUUCAGUCGAUGAAUCGUUUAUGCAAAUUGCAAAUGGUCCAAAUGCGGGUUGGAAACAUGGUGCAUGGUGGAAGAUUAGAAGAACAAUGAGAAGAAUCAGCGAAACCCUUUACAGCAAGGAAGAAUUCAGCAAAUGAGACUCUUCCUGGAAGAUUUGGCCAUUCUGACAGGUGCCAACCAUUCUCAACUGUUUGCGCACUUUCACAGUCCAUAAUACGGAAUUGGAAGACGGGGAUUACAGUGGACUACCAGUACCAGUACGUAGAGUUUCGCGAAAAUCUCGUAUUGAACUAAGUCCAUUCCGACCCCGAAAAUAACGAGGACACAUAUUGAUCACGUUUGAGGUUAGCUCGAUAGUUUACUACCUUUCGUUUAUUUCUGGUUUAGUCUCGUUCCUAAAUUAAAAUAUUUUGAAUUUCGACACUAGAUGGCGACGAUGUUGUUGUUUUUCUUUUGACACUUAUGACGAGCUUAUGUCGAAAGUUAUGUUUGGAAGCUUCUGUGGUAGUUUUUUUUAUACUGAUUUUGACGGACUAAAUUAAACUUAAUCUAAGCAAGGCUGUAACUUAGGUUCAAUGUAGCGAGUAUUGUAGUUUUAUUGUUACAAACGUCUCAGUAUUCUACAAUUCUCAGAUGUGUGUGUAUGUGUAGUCUCAAGAUGGUGAUGGUGUUAACCAAGUAGUGAUAUAUUAUCACUUUUAUCCAUAAUAGUUUCCCCCAAUAGAAAGUAAGUAAAAAUUUCCAACAGUCGAUUGAGGUUCUCCUGUACUGCUACAUUUGGUGUUGCAUAAAAAAAUUCUUCAUUUCAAGGCCCCAUGAAUCUCCCAUUUUUAGUUCUUCAAUGAGUCUGCUUUUUAUUUGGGGAAGUAUUGCUUUCAGUCACCUCAAUCUUGUUUGAUUAUAUUAGGAGGGUGGUAAGUUUCUUAUCCCUACAAAAUCGAAUAAGCUAUUUAUUUGUUUGUUACGUUGAGGAACCCAUACUCGGCAUUCUUUAUUUGGGAUGCAUCAGCGGGGUUGUAAAACAGAAUACGUACAAUUCCUGUACAGGGAGCGGAUUUGACAUGUGAAAGCAAUAAUAUAACUUCCUGCCAUGGACUUUACGCACAGGUUAAAUAAUUUAAAAAAAAAACUUGAACCAAUGGCUGUGCUGAUCCAAUGCACGAAAAUUCGUACCUAUCCUCUCCCGGAAUUUUCACGCAGAGGGGCUUUUGAAUUCGAAAACACGGGAAUAAAAGACUGAACUACCAGUUUCAAAAAAAUUCUACUGGGUUUAGCCCACCAGACUUUGCAUCGAGGUCAGCGUAGCCUGCUUUGCAUCUGUUAAGCAACAGCUGUAUCCAACAGAAUCUAAAAAAAAAAAAACUCACUCGCAUUCGAUUUGUUACAUCCGGUUCCAUUUAUUUCUAUACACAGAUGUGCCACCUACGAAAAAAAGAUUAAAAUGUAAUGACUUCUCUAAUAAAGACUGGUUCACUUUUGACAGAAAGCCAAACGACGUUUGACGCUCCCGCGAGAAGGUCCAAAAAUGAAGUUGGUCAGUAUUCUUCGUCUGCUUAGCCAUUGCAUUGCCCAAACUGUUACGUCUACAACGCCCAAAUUAACAACCCUCAAAACAACUAGGACGACUAAAUCAACAACGUCCAAAUCAACUAGGGCGACUAAAUCAACAACGUACAAAUCAACAACCCCCAAAACAACUAGGACGACUAAAUCAACAACGUCCUAAUCAACAACAAAACCAAAAGUAAAAACCACAACCAGCAAGACGACGCUUAAGCAAAGCACUUUAACGACAACCAAAAAGCCUGUUACCACAACUGCUCUGACUGUUAAAUCCUAUAAAGUUUGCCGUGACACAUCUUCAACAGCGACCAGUGGAUCCAUCCAGCCCUUAGAUGGCCUAACACUGGUGGCAACGGGACCACCGAAAACGUGCAGCUUUUCCAUUACCGCACCUGCUGAUGAACAUGUUCAGAUGUCUUGUUCGGUCGCUAAUCUAACUUUCGUCACAACUUACGCCAAAAUUUCCUCAUAUUCAAGUUCAUUGAGCUUUGACGGAAUCCUAGACGUUGAACUAUCGAACAUAAUCCUACCAAACAAGGUGUAUGCUUCAUAUAACAAUACAAUAAAGCGUAAGUAACUUAUCGAGUUGUCAACGCAUCAGAUAACUUUGAUUGUAGUUGGACAACAUUUCGGGAGCCCACGACAACAACCGAUUAUAAAUGGUGUCGAGAUGGUAAGACGAUAGCAGCCAAUGGAUCCAUUCAAACUCUGCGUGAACCAAUAGGAAAUGGUAUAAUGCCAGUUAGAGUUUGUCCCUUUGUCAUCAUCAAAUGGAAAUGAAGUAGAACUACUGCUGAACCGUGUCGUUACCGAUGCAGGCUUUCCAAUUGAUUGUAAAUGGACGACGACAGCAGCCAGCGUAACGGUGAAAGACUUCAACUACUGCGUUCACGUACAAUCAACGGCUUCCAACGGUGUCAUUACACCAUUUACUAAUGCGACCGACUCAAACAUUUGUUUGUUCUCUACAUAUUAUUGUUCCCCUCUGUCAGCACAUUCAGAUAUCUUGUACGGUCGUCAACCUCACCCCAAGGGAGCUACAUUUGGCCGUCGUAAGUUCUUAAUUAUAAGAUGACUGCUGCCCGAUCUACCAACAAGUGCUACCCAGUCAUGGUGAAAGGCCGGCAACCAAUUCGGAAGACGGCAACAAGAAGUCAUCAUAGAGAUCAACAGAAACGAAAGCAACAGUGUGAAAGACGAACGGCUAAGUUGGAGACCGUGCCGAGCUAUAUCUUGCACACAUCUUUCCCCUAGAAUUGUUCUAAUAAGAUGAGUUGUGUUGACUGCAGUGUCCUGCUCGAGUGGACUUGUCCUAAGGAAUAAAUCCUAAGUAGCUGACCAAGCAUAUUGACUAAAACUCGUUCCGACGGCAAAGUUUGCCCAGGAAGAGUUACGGAAUCAUCUCCAACUCGUCUACAGAUUAAAGAAAAGGCUCUUCUUAUGACCCAACGACACCUUCAUCCUUUGCCCUCACUGCUCCCACUCAAUUUCCUCGAGAGACAAGUCAAGAUUCUCCCCAUUACUUGCCCCAACCCUUGUUGAUCAAGGAAUGGGUUCUAAGUGAAGCUCGUCGUAGGGUUGCUUUCCUCUCAUAGAAACUGUUGAGCUCCUGAGAGGAUCUCUUGAAGAGAAGCCCCAGCAUCAAGACCAAGGAAUUGAGAGGUGCCGUCGCUUUGGUUUUCGGUCAUUUGGUUGGCGUCAGCUGCGCGGUAAAAUGCGUCCCUGCAAGACUGACACCAACAACCCAUCCCCAAGAAAGUCUACCUGUCAGGAGGAAAGGCCAGUUUGCAUUUCCUUCACUUUCGAAGGUCACGUAGAUCAUUUCGUAAAACGUGUCAAAAAUUGUGUAGAGGUUGGGUGAGAAAGGGACGUGUUUCAUAAUUAUCAAGCAGGUACCACAGCCGCAAGGCUUAAGAGGUGGAGGGAUGAAAAAAAUUGUAUAAAAGGAGAGAGAAAAGGCGAAAGAAAUCAGUCGAGUGAGCAUCUCCGACACGGCAUCAACUGGUGCAGCGCACUAUUUGUCACCAACUGCCUUCUUCAUCGUGUUACCACUUCGCAAUCAUGGUCAACUACGGCGUCGUGCUGCUGUUGUGUGUUGAACUGUUGAUGGCUGGUUACUGUUCCCCUGGCGAGAUAUCGGGUCCCUUCAUAAAGCAACAACGAAGAAAUCAGUCAAGUGAUCAUCUCCGACAUGUCAACAAUUGCUGCAGUCACUAACUGCUUUCUUUGUCGUUUUAAAUCAAUUCGCAAUCGUAGUAUAACUAAGGCGUCGUGCUGGGUCUUGUAUCGUUGACGGCUGGUUCGAUCACUGGUGUACCGAUGUUUCCUGGGUAUGGCGGAUACCAAACCGCAACGCUGCCGCCUUGCUACACAACCCUAUAUGACACGACCAGUUAUACCGAGGCCCCCAAAUACUACACCAAGGCUCCAGAUUAUUAUACCACAACUUAUGCUGCCCUGAACUGCUACACCGAAUCCCCUUCAGUUACAGCUACAUUACCAAAUGGUCGAGUAUUGCACCGAUGCACUUAAUUACUACACCACAACAUAUCAUGGUCGGAUAAAAGGAGAGAAAAGGCGAAAGAAAUAUGACGAGUGGUCAGCUCCGAAAUGGCAACAACUGCAGUGCAGUAGUCGUCACCUUCAUUCUUUGUCGUACCACAAGUUUUGCAAUCAUGGUUUUCAUUGCGCCAGCUUAUUACACCGAUGCUCCCAAGUACUACUCUGCUCCCAGCUACUACACCGAGGUUCCAGCUUGUUACACCACCAGAACAAUCGAAUAUAACACAGAAGCAAUCAUUGUAAACUAUGGCGUCGUGCUGCUGUUGGGUGUUGAAUUGUUGAUGGCUGGAUUGACCACUGGUGUGCCGAUGUCUCCUGGGUAUGGCGGGUAUGAAACCAAUACGCCGGCGUCUGACUGCACGACAAAACAUACGGAACGACCGGUUACUACACCGAGGCUCCCAAGUACUACUCUGCUCUCAGCUACUGCACCGAGGCUCCAGCUUAUCACACCAUCAACGGUCGAAAACUAACAUAACUGCCGAAGUACUAAUAUUCCCCGAGCUACACAACCCUAACUGAGGCGGCCAAGUAUUACGUAGCCUCAACUUUCUACAUAACCGCUGCCCCUUCGUAUUACGCUGAACCGAAAUACUACACUGAAGCCCCAGCUCCAUACUACACCACAACCUACGCUACACUCUGCUACUACACGGAAGCUCCGAGGUGUUACUCUGCCCCGAGUUACUACACCGUUAAUGCAUCUGAAUGCAUCCAACUUACUACAGGGAGGUUCCUAAAUAUUAGGGCCGAAUUUGUUUUUAUUUUUUUGGUGUAUAGAUUUUCGUCGUACUAUUAUAGUUACUUGUCACUGGUAAUUGUUGUUGAUCUUAAAUGACAAAAUACACUUUUUAAAGCGGGUAA